rnacentral:rRNA from 1 species
AGCGAACGCUGGCGGCAGGCCUAACACAUGCAAGUCGAACGAACUCUUCGGAGUUAGUGGCGGACGGGUGAGUAACACGUGGGAACGUGCCUUUUGGUUCGGAAUAACUCAGGGAAACUUGUGCUAAUACCGAAUGUGCCCUUCGGGGGAAAGAUUUAUCGCCAUUAGAGCGGCCCGCGUCUGGUUAGCUAGUUGGUGAGGUAACGGCUCACCAAGGCGACGAUCAGUAGCUGGUCUGAGAGGAUGACCAGCCACACUGGGACUGAGACACGGCCCAGACUCCUACGGGAGGCAGCAGUGGGGAAUCUUGCGCAAUGGGCGAAAGCCUGACGCAGCCAUGCCGCGUGAAUGAUGAAGGUCUUAGGAUUGUAAAAUUCUUUCACCGGGGACGAUAAUGACGGUACCCGGAGAAGAAGCCCCGGCUAACUUCGUG